GGCCUUUUUAAAAAUGAAAGAAGCGAUCUGAUUGGUUGCUAUGGGCAACUGCACCAAUCUUAUUACACUGGUACUCUGCAUCACCAACGUCAUAGGGGCCUUUAUGUCAUUUUAUGUUGCUCCACAUUUCCAUCUUGCCCUGAUAGUUCCCUAGCUGCCUCGGCUGAAGGAUACGUCUCAGAUCGCCUUGCGACCAAGAGUUGGGAUGACCACAAAUGGGGAACAGUAAGACAAUGAAUGAAGAGAAGAAAUUCCAACUACAGCCAUGAAUAAGAAAACAGACCGGACAAAAUAAAGGGACACAAGGCACCCAAUAAAUGAUCACUGAACAUUUACUAUUAUCUAAGGGGUUCACUGAUGAUUUGGCAAAAUUACAUUAUGAUUAAUGUUAUACUAUAUUUAUAUAGAGUCUGCAUCUGUGUAAUUCUGAUACACAGCUUACAGCCACCAGUAGUGGGAUUCAGAUGGUUCCCUCAACUCAAUAAUAAAGCAGUAAGCCCCCCAAUGGUGACUUUAACUUUAUGGCUACACAGUCAUUUUGGAUCUAUCUUUGAGAAGCUUCAAUCUAAUAAAACAAGCACAUUAAUUUGGACAUAGAAAUGAAGUUCAGCCCAGAGGGUGAGUAGAUGUUAAAAAAAAAAAAAAAAAAAAAAAAAGAAAAAAAUAAAGAAACAAAAGAGGUGUUUACUUGUGGGCUGACAGGGACCUGUGUUCCUAACCUGGUCACUGAUGUGGUCACAAUGACACAAGGGCUUUCACACAGGAGGGGUGUGCCGCAGUCCAUUGGUUGGCAGAGUGAACAGGGGGGCUGCUCAAGUUGUGUAAGUAGUAAUGGUUCCUCUUGGGCACCCAGUUUUCAGCCUGGCAUUGGGUGCCCUUGGUGCUGUGGUGCAGAAAGAAAAGCCAAAUACUGGGGUAUUGAAUUACAGAGUUGUAUUUACUCCAUUAAAAUGGAGGCACGGUCUACUCAGAACACAAUGGAAUAAUAUAGUUGGAGCAGGGGUUACUCUAUUAUAGGUAGAAAAUAGGUAGAAAGUUCCAAGUCUUUUUUCCCUGAGGGGUAUAAUACAACCUUUGUUGGCUCUCAGUGAAUCCUAGCAGGUCUGAAUCCUAGGGGAAUAGGUCUCAGAAGCAAGGUGGUUUGGCACCUGCCCUAGAGGUCUGCCUAAAGCCCUAGAGGGUCCUUUUCAGUAUAAAUAUGCUAUAGGGCAUAUAUCCACUUAGUCCUCUUUUUCCUCCCUUUCUCUCUGUCUGCCACAGGAGAGAAAGAGAAAAAAAAUAUUGCAGCUUUU